GACGAACGCUGGCGGUGUGCCUAACACAUGCAAGUCGAACGGUAAGGCCCUUUCGGGGGUACACGAGUGGCGAACGGGUGAGUAACACGUGAGUAACCUGCCCUCAUCUCUGGGAUAACAGUCGGAAACGGUUGCUAAUACUGGAUAUGAGCCUGCAAGGCAUCUUGUGGGUUGGAAAGAUUUUUUGGUUGGGGGUGGACUCGCGGCCUAUCAGCUUGUUGGUGAGGUAGUGGCUCACCAAGGCUUCGACGGGUAGCCGGCCUGAGAGGGCGACCGGCCACAUUGGGACUGAGAUACGGCCCAAACUCCUACGGGAGGCAGCAGUGGGGAAGAUUGCACAAUGGACGGAAGUCUGAUGCAGCAACGCCGCGUGCGGGAUGACGGCCUUCGGGUUGUAAACCGCUUUCAAUUGUGACGAAGCUUUUUGUGACGGUAGCAGUAGAAGAAGCACCGGCUAACUACGUG
rnacentral:rRNA from 1 species